GUGCCUGCUUCGGCAGCACAUAUACUAAAACUGGAAUGACACAGAGAAGGUAAGCAAGGCCCCUGCGCAAGGAUGACAUGCAAAUUCGUGAAGUGUUCAUACUUUUA
ensembl:snRNA U6 U6 spliceosomal RNA